AUUGAACGCUGGCGGCAUGCUUUACACAUGCAAGUCGAACGGCAGCACGGACUUCGGUCUGGUGGCGAGUGGCGAACGGGUGAGUAAUACAUCGGAACGUACCCAGUAAUGGGGGAUAACUAUCCGAAAGGAUAGCUAAUACCGCAUACGCCCUACGGGGGAAAGAGGGGGAUCGCAAGACCUCUUGUUAUUGGAGCGGCCGAUGGCUGAUUGGCUAGUUGGUAGGGUAAAGGCCUACCAAGGCAACGAUCAGUAGCGGGUCUUAGAGGACGAUCCGCCACACUGGAACUGAGACACGGUCCAGACUCCUACGGGAGGCAGCAGUGGGGAAUCUUGGACAAUGGGCGCAAGCCUGAUCCAGCAAUGCCCCGUGCGUGAAGAAGGCCUUCGGGUUGUAAAGCGCUUUUGUCAGGGAGCAAAUCCUUGUGGCUAAUACCCACCGGGGAUGAGAGUACCUGAAGAAUAAGGACCGGCUAACUACGUGCCAGCAGCCGCUGUAACAC
rnacentral:rRNA from 1 species